GGCGUGGUCAGACGGUGCUUCCCUUAAAUAUAGUUGAGUGUUUGUGCUUAAGUUUGUUUUCAAAGACUUCAGAUGAAGUGCUGCGAAGAGGCUUCACUCAUCGCUGUAGUCAAACUGCACUUUCAUAACUGAAUAUCCCCUGAGCGGGCUCUGAGCCAUCUGAUCUGCUGGUAGACACCGGCUACACGUUUUUGAGUGCGCAUAAGCCAAAAACAUAUUUAAGAAUGGGAAACGUACCAUCAGAAGCAAACAUGGGGGACAGCCUGAGGUGCUGUAAGUGUUAUAGAGUCUUGCCUCCAUGUUGGUCCUUUGAUAAUUUAAGAAAAGAUGUCAUACAUGGUCAACAUGUGCAUGUGUUCAAUGGAGGGGAAUACUACAGACCAGUCGGUUAUAAUGACCUAUAUCAGUGCCCAGAUUGCUUUUAUAAGCCAAUCAGAGAUGCAGAACGUAGAAGAGAAGAGGAAGAGAAAAGACGGAGAGAGGAAGAAAGAAGGAGAGAGGAAGAGAGGAGAA